UUUUGUCUAAAUUUUGCCCACUUAAAUUUAAUUUCAACUCUUUAAUUCAAUUGUGACCUAAUUUUAAAUAUCUUAUUACUUUAAAUCUCAGUCAUGGAUCAAAUUUAUCAAGGGCUGAGAUUAAUUCUUCAACUCUUUCCUUUUUAAAAUACAAAAAAUAAACCCUAAUCCCAUUAGAAAAAAAAUCCGCCUCCCUCCUCCUCUCUCUACAACUUCCUCUUCAUCAAUUUCUCCCCCUCAGCCAUCGGAGAGCCGCUCCAACAGCCGCAUCCAACUGCAGCCGGCGUCACCUCCUCCACUAUCCAACUCCAGUGCGCCACUACUUCCACCGGCGACGGACAACCAUACCACCAGCAAACUGCCUCUCCGUUCUCCCUCACUAGCCCGCCGGCGUCUCUCUCACUCGACCUCCAGCGCCUCGCUCGACCCGAUCUCCAUCAUAGCUUGCAAAAAUCGUCGUUGCUCCAUCAAUAGAAGACAAACCAGCCGUCAAAAUCAGUCUUUUCCAUGACAAACCAGCCAUGACCGAUGCCGGACAUGUCCGGGUUUUAGAAGAUUGAAUAUAUGGUCGUACCUACUGCUGGCAGCCUUGAUGAUAUUACAAGUCCACUGUAUAUAUAGUGCUGCCAUUCUUGGUUACUAGCAAUAGUAUGUGGAAGCGAUGAAGCAUUCAUCUUGACCAGAUAAGAAACUGUCUGAAAGUUGACAGUUCUCUGAAGGUUUCAUGCAUGUUUUGGUUAUAAGAAGUUAUUUGUAAAUAAUUUCACAAUAGGUAAACUUUGAUGUAAAUAUUUCAAGCUGACAAAACUUUGCCUUUGUAUAACGAAAAGGUUCAUACAGAAAAUUGUGUAGUGGACAUUCGCUGGUGUGUUCUCAGUAA